GAUGAACGCUGGCGGCAUGCCUAAUACAUGCAAGUCGAGCGAACACACAGGGAGCUUUCUCCUCUACCGUUAGCGACGGACGGGUGAGUAACACGUAGAUCACCUUCCUCUAAGACUGGGAUAACUUCGUGGAACCACAUCUAAUACCAGAUCAUAUGUUCAACCGCUUGGUUCAAUAGAUAAUCGCACUUUUCGUGUUUCAUUUAGCCGGUGUCGCAUUAGCUAGUUGGCUGGGUAAAGGCACACCAAGGCGACGAUCCGUAGCUGGUCUGAGAGGAUGAUCAGCCACACUGGAACUGAGACACGGUCCAGACUCCUACGGGAGGCAGCAGUAGGGAAUCUUGGGCAAUGGGCGAAAGCCUGACGCAGCAACACCGCGUGGGUGAAGAAGGCCUUCGGGUCGUAAAGCUCUGUUAUUAGGGAAGAAAAGAUGUGGAAGAAAAUAUGGCCGUUUUGACGGUACCUAAAGAGAAAGCAACGGCUAACUACGUG
rnacentral:rRNA from 1 species